GGCGCUGUGGCUGAGUUGUAAAGCGCCUGGCUUCCGAACCAGGUGGUCCAGGGUUCGAAUCCUAGUAAAGACA
rnacentral:tRNA from 1 species